rnacentral:lncRNA from 1 species
AGGAAAAAGAGAGAUUCAGUCUUUAUAAUUUAACAUGGGUGCCAGGAAUGAAACCACCUUCCAAGAAUGUUCGACAGGAUUGAGUCUAUGGAUAUUGAAUGCAGAGAAUUCGCCCAGUAAUUUAUUCCCUCCUAAACAACUUACAGGGCGAUAAACAACUGAGAAGAAAGGGAGGAUAAGAAGAAGAGUAGAACCUUUGGUUCGAGAAGCGUUCCCUCCAGUGUUUCCCUCA